GCCCUGUUAGCUCAGUUGGUAGAGCAUUGGACUUUUAAUCCAAUGGACGUGGGUUCAAUUCCCGCAAAGGGCG
rnacentral:tRNA from 1 species